CGGAGGUUCUUCCCACGACACCAGCACCUCGGUCCCGUUUGGCUUGGCGGUCACGUUGGCCGGUGGGUUGUCUGGCACUGAAACAUGGAUUGGAUUUAUCCGCUGCUCACUCGUCCUCCUGGGAGAAAAACGAGUUUCGAGAAAAAUGUGUGUUUUCUCAAACUCUUGUUCUCGAUUCCCACCGUCAAACCUUUUUAUUUUUUUGCCUUAGAUUUGUUUCCAUGUUCAGCUCAAACCCUUCUGCACAACAUCGCUUGUUGGAUUUUAGGUAGAGGAAAAGAUUAAACACAGGAACACGAGGGGGAGUUUGUUCAGGAAACAGAUGAUGGAUGUGAGAAACAGAAACAGCUCUCAGGAUCUGGAUGUGUAACACACUGAGGAAGCUAAAAGAUGAUAUGUUCAAGGCACAGAGAAGAACAUAUUUGGACAGUCUGUUAGAGAGACAGACAGCAAAGAGGCGACCAGAACCAGAGAGAGAGACAGAGAUGUGGAAAAUGUUGCUGAUCUGUGACCAGGCCUCCGUUUUUUUUUAUCCUCUGACUCAUUUAAACAAGUGAAGACAUUUCUCUCUUAAAGAAAAUCAUGAACUCUUUUGUUUCUUUCUCACCGCUAAAAGGAAACCAAGAUUUCUGCCAUUUUUUUCUGAAAAAGAGAACUGAAACUGCUAAAUCCUGCCUGUGACCAGCAUCUCAACGAGUCCUACUUCCCUCUUUUCUUUUUCCUGUUUAUGAGAAAAUGAGAAACGCUGCGUUGGAGCGUUUUUCGAUGAUUGGAGGCAGCUUUCAUCAUGGAAAGCCCCGGCCAAAACCUUCUCUCUCUCUCUUCUCAGUAUCCUCUAUUUCCAGCCAUUUUUUUUUUAUCCAUGGAUGGAGUCAGCAUGAGCUGGCAUGGAAAAUCCCACCUCAGUUUAAAGUCAAACACACCGCUGCUUAACAUUACCGUUUGGAAGGACUCAGUGAAGCCUUUCAGGAGACUUUCCACAGCGUUUCCAUUUCUGUCCCUCCUGAAGCGCCCUGUCAUCUGCUAACGGAUGAAACCGGGCAGACAGAGGCGCAGCCUGGUUUCUUUUAUAAACACAGUUGGACUGAGA